GGGUUGUGAGGUUAAGCGACUAAGCGUACACGGUGGAUGCCCUGGCAGUCAGAGGCGAUGAAGGACGUGCUAAUCUGCGAUAAGCGUCGGUGAGGUGAUAUGAACCGUUAUAACCGGCGAUUUCCGAAUGGGGAAACCCAGUGUGUUUCGACACACUAUCAUUAACUGAAUCCAUAGGUUAAUGAGGCGAACCGGGGGAACUGAAACAUCUAAGUACCCCGAGGAAAAGAAAUCAACCGAGAUUCCCCCAGUAGCGGCGAGCGAACGGGGAGGAGCCCAGAGCCUGAAUCAGUGUGUGUGUUAGUGGAAGCGUCUGGAAAGGCGCGCGAUACAGGGUGACAGCCCCGUACACAAAAAUGCACAUAUUGUGAGCUCGAUGAGUAGGGCGGGACACGUGGUAUCCUGUCUGAAUAUGGGGGGACCAUCCUCCAAGGCUAAAUACUCCUGACUGACCGAUAGUGAACCAGUACCGUGAGGGAAAGGCGAAAAGAACCCCGGCGAGGGGAGUGAAAAAGAACCUGAAACCGUGUACGUACAAGCAGUGGGAGCCUCUUUAUGGGGUGACUGCGUACCUUUUGUAUAAUGGGUCAGCGACUUAUAUUCUGUAGCAAGGUUAACCGAAUAGGGGAGCCGAAGGGAAACCGAGUCUUAACUGGGCGUUAAGUUGCAGGGUAUAGACCCGAAACCCGGUGAUCUAGCCAUGGGCAGGUUGAAGGUUGGGUAACACUAACUGGAGGACCGAACCGACUAAUGUUGAAAAAUUAGCGGAUGACUUGUGGCUGGGGGUGAAAGGCCAAUCAAACCGGGAGAUAGCUGGUUCUCCCCGAAAGCUAUUUAGGUAGCGCCUCGUGAAUUCAUCUCCGGGGGUAGAGCACUGUUUCGGCAAGGGGGUCAUCCCGACUUACCAACCCGAUGCAAACUGCGAAUACCGGAGAAUGUUAUCACGGGAGACACACGGCGGGUGCUAACGUCCGUCGUGAAGAGGGAAACAACCCAGACCGCCAGCUAAGGUCCCAAAGUCAUGGUUAAGUGGGAAACGAUGUGGGAAGGCCCAGACAGCCAGGAUGUUGGCUUAGAAGCAGCCAUCAUUUAAAGAAAGCGUAAUAGCUCACUGGUCGAGUCGGCCUGCGCGGAAGAUGUAACGGGGCUAAACCAUGCACCGAAGCUGCGGCAGCGACACUAUGUGUUGUUGGGUAGGGGAGCGUUCUGUAAGCCUGUGAAGGUGGCCUGUGAGGGUUGCUGGAGGUAUCAGAAGUGCGAAUGCUGACAUAAGUAACGAUAAAGCGGGUGAAAAGCCCGCUCGCCGGAAGACCAAGGGUUCCUGUCCAACGUUAAUCGGGGCAGGGUGAGUCGACCCCUAAGGCGAGGCCGAAAGGCGUAGUCGAUGGGAAACAGGUUAAUAUUCCUGUACUUGGUGUUACUGCGAAGGGGGGACGGAGAAGGCUAUGUUGGCCGGGCGACGGUUGUCCCGGUUUAAGCGUGUAGGCUGGUUUUCCAGGCAAAUCCGGAAAACCAAGGCUGAGGCGUGAUGACGAGGCACUACGGUGCUGAAGCGACAAAUGCCCUGCUUCCAGGAAAAGCCUCUAAGCAUCAGGUAACAUCAAAUCGUACCCCAAACCGACACAGGUGGUCAGGUAGAGAAUACCAAGGCGCUUGAGAGAACUCGGGUGAAGGAACUAGGCAAAAUGGUGCCGUAACUUCGGGAGAAGGCACGCUGAUAUGUAGGUGAAGCGACUUGCUCGUGGAGCUGAAAUCAGUCGAAGAUACCAGCUGGCUGCAACUGUUUAUUAAAAACACAGCACUGUGCAAACACGAAAGUGGACGUAUACGGUGUGACGCCUGCCCGGUGCCGGAAGGUUAAUUGAUGGGGUUAGCGGUAACGCGAAGCUCUUGAUCGAAGCCCCGGUAAACGGCGGCCGUAACUAUAACGGUCCUAAGGUAGCGAAAUUCCUUGUCGGGUAAGUUCCGACCUGCACGAAUGGCGUAAUGAUGGCCAGGCUGUCUCCACCCGAGACUCAGUGAAAUUGAACUCGCUGUGAAGAUGCAGUGUACCCGCGGCAAGACGGAAAGACCCCGUGAACCUUUACUAUAGCUUGACACUGAACAUUGAGCCUUGAUGUGUAGGAUAGGUGGGAGGCUUUGAAGUGUGGACGCCAGUCUGCAUGGAGCCGACCUUGAAAUACCACCCUUUAAUGUUUGAUGUUCUAACGUUGGCCCGUAAUCCGGGUUGCGGACAGUGUCUGGUGGGUAGUUUGACUGGGGCGGUCUCCUCCUAAAGAGUAACGGAGGAGCACGAAGGUUGGCUAAUCCUGGUCGGACAUCAGGAGGUUAGUGCAAUGGCAUAAGCCAGCUUGACUACUGGUGUUCGGGUUGUCAUGCCAAUGGCACUGCCCGGUAGCUAAAUGCGGAAGAGAUAAGUGCUGAAAGCAUCUAAGCACGAAACUUGCCCCGAGAUGAGUUCUCCCUGAGACUUAGAGUCUCCUGAAGGAACGUUGAAGACGACGACGUUGAUAGGCCGGGUGUGUAAGCGCAGCGAUGCGUUGAGCUAACCGGUACUAAUGAACCGUGAGGCUUAACCUUACAACGCCGAAG
rnacentral:rRNA from 1 species